AUUGAACGCUGGCGGCAGGCCUAACACAUGCAAGUCGAGCGGAUGAAGGGAGCUUGCUCCUGGAUUCAGCGGCGGACGGGUGAGUAAUGCCUAGGAAUCUGCCUGGUAGUGGGGGAUAACGUCCGGAAACGGGCGCUAAUACCGCAUACGUCCUGAGGGAGAAAGUGGGGGAUCUUCGGACCUCACGCUAUCAGAUGAGCCUAGGUCGGAUUAGCUAGUUGGUGGGGUAAAGGCCUACCAAGGCGACGAUCCGUAACUGGUCUGAGAGGAUGAUCAGUCGCACUGGAACUGAGACACGGUCCAGACCCCUACGGGAGGCAGCAGUGGGGAAUAUUGGACAAUGGGCGAAAGCCUGAUCCAGCCAUGCCGCGUGUGUGAAGAAGGUCUUCGGAUUGUAAAGCACUUUAAGUUGGGAGGAAGGGCAGUAAGUUAAUACCUUGCUGUUUUGACGUUACCAACAGAAUAAGCACCGGCUAACUUCGUG
rnacentral:rRNA from 1 species